rnacentral:rRNA from 1 species
UACGAAGGGGGCUAGCGUUGCUCGGAAUCACUGGGCGUAAAGCGCACGUAGGCGGAUUGCUAAGUCAGGGGUGAAAUCCUGGAGCUCAACUCCAGAACUGCCUUUGAUACUGGCGACCUUGAGUCCGGGAGAGGUGAGUGGAACUGCGAGUGUAGAGGUGAAAUUCGUAGAUAUUCGCAAGAACACCAGUGGCGAAGGCGGCGCACUGGACCACAUCUGACGCUGAGGCGCGAAAGCUAGGGGAGCAAACAGG